rnacentral:lncRNA from 1 species
UUAUAUCUUCUGUAGUUAAUGAAAUGUUAAUAUCUAUCUGUUUGAGGAAAGAUCAAAAAUACGUGCAUAUAGCAUUGAGUAGAUGAAACCAAAGAAAGAUAGGUAAAUGAUGAUGUUCUAUUAUUCAAAUCAUGGGCAUGUUAUGUAUGUCCAUCCUAGUUUUACAUGUGCAUAUUGUAUCUUACUGAAGAUUCAUAUUCAUGCCAGUUGUAAGUUUUAAAGUCUAUCAGACAUCUUCGGGUAUUUAAAGGGUUCAAUGGCAAGUGAAGGUUUUGGCUCAAAAAAAAAAAAAAAAAAAAAAAAACCUCAAAACAUAACAAUUUAA